rnacentral:rRNA from 1 species
CCUACGGGUGGCAGCAGUGGGGAAUAUUGGACAAUGGGGGGAACCCUGAUCCAGCCAUGCCGCGUGUGUGAAGAAGGCCCUCGGGUUGUAAAGCACUUUCAGUGAGGAAGAACGCCUGGUGGUUAAUACCCAUCAGGAAAGACAUCACUCACAGAAGAAGCACCGGCUAACUCCGUGCCAGCAGCCGCGGUAAUACGGAGGGUGCGAGCGUUAAUCGGAAUUACUGGGCGUAAAGCGCGCGUAGGUGGCUUGAUAAGCCGGUUGUGAAAGCCCCGGGCUCAACCUGGGAACGGCAUCCGGAACUGUCAAGCUAGAGUGCAGGAGAGGAAGGUAGAAUUCCCGGUGUAGCGGUGAAAUGCGUAGAGAUCGGGAGGAAUACCAGUGGCGAAGGCGGCCUUCUGGACUGAUACUGACACUGAGGUGCGAAAGCGUGGGUAGCAAACAGGAUUAGAUACCCCAGUAGUC